rnacentral:lncRNA from 1 species
AUUCGGUGCUUGGGUUGUGGUCUCUAUGACAACCAGCUGUCUGUAAUUAGUAAAUCAAGCCUGGGCGAGGCUUUGGACACUCAGAGUGGCUGCAGAAAGAAGUCAAGAGUGGCUAGCGGCUCACUGUGGGUAAUUGCAUUGCCGUAACUGCAGGGAUGCGUGUGCCACUGGUGGUUCUUCUCAGCACGGUCAUGCUUCACUCCGUGUCGGCUGGAGGUGUGUAUUGUGCUAAAACAGCGAGAGCCCGUGCUGCAGCCCUGGGUUUGGCAUAUCCUGGACUUCAUGGAGCCCCUGAUUUGCAUGGACCAGCUCACAAUGGGCUGCACCCCAGACCUCACCCAUACAAACACGCUGGUCCUGAACCAGCUGGGUUUGGUCCUGACAUGAGCUACUACAAUCAACGCUAUCCAGGAGUGAAGCAGUCGCACAGUGAGCACAAACAAGCUCAGCCCUGGAACUCUGAAUCCCCAUUUCAUCAGAACCGUGACACAUACAGCCCAGUUCAAAGCGAAUAUGCCGCCGGACCCAGAGGGCUGCCGGUUAGUAACCUUGGGUCCGAUUCUGAGCAGGUCCAGCAUGUUGACCCACGAGCAUGGGCCCCAAGCUCCGGCCAGCCUGCGCCUAUGAACGGACAACCUCAAGGUCACACCGAGCCGCUUCCGUUUGUCUACGGUGUCCCAAAUAGACGUGCCCCGGUUCUGACCGCACUCCCCCUGACCCACGGUGUUUACCAGAGGGGUCCGGCUCGCCAUGACUUCGGAGGAGACGAUCCCGUUCUUGGUUCCUAUCCUUUCCCCAUCCAACCCUACGCUGCCGUGGCUGGAACGCCUCCUUUGUUUCCUGGAUGGUGGAGGGUUUGGUUUCCUCCCCAGCCGGUUCCGAUGCUGCACAGGAACCCUGAUGUCGGACCAGUAAACCCUUUCUUUAGACCUGUAAUAAACCGGCACCAGUAAGAAAACGUCCACCAAUUUAGGAGAUGUGACUCAGAGCUCUGCUGCUUUUGUAGAGUGUAAAGUUAACAGCCAGUCAUUGUGAUGGGGAACAGUGUGGUUUCCUUUGACCUCCACUGAAUGUCCAUCUUAUCGGUGUACCAGCGCCUGUGAUGCUGUUUUCUCCCCUGUAGUUAUGAAAACUACGGCUGAAUAAAAAAAAUCUACCAAUGCUUCUAAUUGCUGUC